ACAAUAUUAUAGUUAGUUAAAUGGUCUGAUUGUUCAAAUAUGUAUUUUCUUUGAUUGUUGUAAAAUAAUGUGUGCCCCAGUCUCCAAAAAUGACAUAGUGCAGGAAGGGUAGUUAUUCCUCCGUUACACCACAAGAGGGAGUAUCCCCUAAAAUGAGCAGCUCUAGCGGGAGUAAAUAAGCCCAGCCACUAACCAUAAGGCAGUGCGCCUAUAAGAGUUGUGUGAGAGUGCAAAAGUGUGUAACGUUGUGCUAUGUCUACAUAUAUGUUUGCAGGUAAGCAGAUACAAGAUGGUAAAUAACUUAAAAUGUAUCUACAGAUGAGUCCACGGGGUUGCAGAGAAUGUGGGAAAGUUGGCCGUUAAUCCCCAUUGUGAAUUAGCCGUGGCGCUAACGAUUAGCAGCUAGAGAUAAUUCGUUAGUUUGUGCAGAAACCUCGUGGCGCUUUUGUGGAUUUAUACCUGUACCGGGCUGUAAUCACAGCAGAUAUAGACUGGUGGAUCACACUAUCUUUUGUUUAUGUUUAUUUCAUUGUUGCACUGUAAGAAAUAUUAGAGAUUUGAGUUUAAAGACUAACCAUAAGGCAGUGCGCCUAUAAGAGUUGUGUGAGACUGCAAAAGUGUGUAACGUUGUGCUAUGUCUACAUAUAUGUUUGCAGAUAUGGGCGGAGUAUUUAGUCAGUCAUGGAGGCCUUUGCCAAAGAAUAACCAGGAUACGCUGGAUUUUCUGAAAUCGUACAGACCUCGAAAUCAUGAAGCUAGCCAUCUCAGAAUUCUGCUUAUUGGGCCAACUGGUGACGGGAAAUCUACCUUCAUCAACUCUGUUGACAGCGUUUUACAAGGCAGAGUUGCUAAUCGAGCUCCAACAGAUCAACACCUUACAGCAGAUUCAUUCACCAAAAAGUACAAAACAUAUAAAUUCUCCAAAGGCAAUGAAGGUGAUUACUCAUUUGUUUUCAAUGACAUCAUGGGCAUGGAAAGGACCAAAGGCAUUCAUGUGGAAGAUGUUAAACUUGCCCUAAGAGGACAUGUGAAAGAUGGUUACGAGUUCGAUCCUGAAAACAAGCUGGAAGAGGGAGCUCCAGAAUACAAUGCUGCUCCUGAACUGAGUGACAGAGUUCAUGUUCUGGUCACUGUUGUUCCUGCUGGCUCAGUGUCUUUACUACCUCCAGACAUGAUAGCAAAGCUGAGAGAUGUCAGACUGGCAGCCACUGCGUUGGAAAUUCCCCAGCUGGCUAUUCUCACUAAAGUUGAUGAUGUCUGUCGCAAGGCACAAAGGAAUGUGAACAACAUCUACAAGAGUGACUACCUGAAGGAACAGGUCUACAAAUUUGGCCAGUUUCUGGGCCUCCCAGUGAACAGCAUCUUUCUUGUGAAGAACUACAGUUCAGAAAUCAAUACAAAUGAUGCCACUGAUGCUCACAUCCUGUGUGCACUGAAACAGAUGGUUGUCUUUGGAGAAGACUACCUCAACCACUUGAAUGACUGAGACAUGAGAAAAUGAAACAUUUCAUUUAAACAUCAGACUGAAUACCUGCUGUAGAUAUUCAGUCACACAUUUUAUACCUAGACUGUCUGUUAAUUUUCACAGUCUGCAUUUUUCCCAGCUUUCUUUCCUGGCUUCAAAUUGGAUAAAGUUUAUUAAUAUGUAGCAACUAUUUUCCUAUCUCACUGACUUAAUGUUUUAAUGCUACAUUAGUCUACAGUGCAUUUCCUCUCAUACACAUCACACCACUGCUUUUAUGCAAAAACUGUGUUGUUUUCAGUCUGUAUUGUGUGUUUGACCUCUUCAUGUUUUUCCCAUAGCAUAUACAAGUCACUGGUGUCUUCUGCUUGAUUUUACUUCCUCCCCAGUGUGAUUGUCUUAAUUGUUUUUAUCUGUGUCUGUUUUGCCCCUACGGUUUCCACUUCUUUUGUAUUUUUUUACUUAAAAAAAAGAAAAGCUUUCAAACUGUGUGAAUAGAGUCAUUGUGUUUCAGGACUAGGCUUUUCUCCAGGACAUUGUGGGCGUGACCUUUAGUCAAGAUCUUUCCCAGAAAUAUUUUCCAGUUCCUCCUAGGGGAUCUCACAUUGCUCCCUGCUGGGUGUGCCAGGAAAAACCUUCAACCAUUUGAUCAGAUAGCUCCAUGUCAGCUCUGACUGAAUAUGGUUUCAGGGAAACCAGAGAAGUGGUUCAGGCACAAGGAUACCUCCUGGGGGAGGUGUUCCGGGCUUGUCCCACCGGGAGGAGGCCCCGGGGCAGAACCAGGACACGCUGGAGAGAUUGCUGCUGCUUAUGCUGGCAGUAACAUGUCCGAUAAGCUCAUCUACGGAGACGUCACUGCAAUGCAUCAUUUGAUAGUGCACAGAGAAGAGAGUUUGGUGGGAAUGAACAAAUUCUACUUUUAAACAGCUCAUCAGUGAAAAAUCAUACAGGGUAAAAGCACUGGAAGGUUUCAUAGCUAAACAUAUACAGAUUUUUGCCAUAAGGUGGCACAGUGAGACUUUAUUCAUGUAUGAAAUACACGAGCUUGAUUAAAUCACACUCAAAAUUAACACAUACUUUAAAAGAGACAAUAUCCCAUAAAGUUGCAUCCACCAAGAAGUGAGUGGUCGCUCUUCUUUGUAAAAGAGGCUCAACAAGUCAAUGAAGCUGGACUUGGGUCCAGCUCGGGUCCACGAAGAAGAAUUCCGAGACACUAGAGCUCAUUUUUAUCAGUGGCACGUGGGUGAAGUUGGGAAAGGCACAGCCAGAUGGUUGACAUCAGGGGCUUAUCACCCGGCAAACAGACUAAACACCAGACCUUGCCCAUCUGUUUUCUUUCUUCCUUCUCCUUCUCCAGCUCCUUCAUGGCAGAUACCUAGACUGGUGGAACACACUCUCAUAACUCACUCAUUCAAGCAUAUGGGCAUGCACUUGUAUGGACACCUACUUUAUUAUUUAAAUAUUUAAAUAGUUGUCUGAGUUGAUGAUUUUGGUGUCUGUAGUUUGUUAGCACUAAGUUGCAGAAAUGUUUGGGGCAGAGCUCCACGCCUACUGAUAGUUGCUUUGGAGCAUUAAAUUGGUCAUUAGGUGUAGAUUCAUCCAUACCAUUGGUUUAUAGACAAAGGUGACCAAACCUUACUAAUUUUAUGUCAAUGAAACUGAAAAUAAUGCCUAAAAUUGUUGGUUGUGUCUAGUUUUCAUGCUACCAGACCCCCAAAAAAUUAGUUAUGACAAAAAUCACUAAUAUACAUUUUAAUCCUUAAAGUUUGCCUAAUAUGUCCCAAAUAUGGGUAAUUUUAAAAUGGUUAUAUAUCCUAAAUGAUGAACCCAUUAUUGAUGAGGCUUGCCUUAUUUGGCUUUUGUACCUCUACUCUGAUCUUGGAUUUGGGAAGUAAAUUUUAUAAUGCUGCAAAGAAAAUUUUACAACGUAUUUAAACAUCCCACUGAUAUUUUAUCCUCUUUCAAGUACGGUGACUCACAGAACUUGCACAGUUCUCUGAAAUGUAUUCUCUAAACUGGAAAUCUUCAAAAUUAUUGUUGUUUCAAUUAAAAAGAGGUAAAAGACAACUGGACAUGUAGCUUCAAAUUGCAAAAACAUAAUUGUUUCUUGGAAUUGGAAUAAACACAAAAACAGACAAAAUACACAAAAGACCAGCAGCCCAGGGGUUUUCAGGACUUCUAAAUUCCCAGAGGCGUCUGCCAAGGUCACACAUGAAUAUAUGCCAGGUCACCAUGGCAGAUAUUCAGAAAAUCCAGUACUUUCCAGUUCUCUCCCUAUUUUCCAUGUGCUAUGUGGAUAACUCUCCUAUAAGGUCCCACAGAUUUUAUCAGAAGCCAAUUAGCCCAUCUUUCUGCCAUGAGCAGGCCUCGAGGGGUGAAGGUGCUCUCCAACUCCUACUAUGAAAAAGGUGAAAUGUGAAGAACUAUUGAUACAAUAUCAGUGCGCACACACAGUCUUUGUAUUACCCAAAUCCUUAUACUCUCAUGGUCAAAACAUCCUAUUUAUUGUGAGAUAAACAGAUUUCUAAAAUAUAUGAAGCAUCAUAUUGACUUAAGAUGAAGUGUCUAUUAUAUCAUAUGGGAGUAGUCUGAUGUUUAAUAAGGUUUACUAUAAGAAAUGACAUUUUUACAUAUCUUCUUAAUAAACACGUCAAUUAACUGAACAUUUUAGAGUAAAUGAUAAUGAUAAUCCUCCCGCAUAAUAUUUCAAUUGGCAAAAACUAGAUAUACUUAUAAAAUACUCAAUGCAAUGAUCCCAAACACACACUCAAAAAAACUUUUUUUUGCCCUCAUAAUGAUAAAAGCAUAAUUGGGAUUAAAACUGAAACAUUUGAAAUAUUUAAAACCAAAGGUUUAUUUAUCCAAAUAAUUAAACAUUAAAGAAAAUAUAAACUGAAAACAACCCAGUCAAGUAAAUUUCAUUUGAAUAGAUUCCAUUAAAUUUACCAUUUCCUAUUGUACUCAAGUAUUUUUCUGAGUGCACCAGCAAAUCUGCAACAGAAGGGCUGAAAGAGGAAAUAAAGCUGUUGCAAUGGCACGUGAUACACAUGAUAACUGCAUUAAAUCCAUGGAAAUAGAAAAAACAAAAAGUAAAUCAUUACUGCAAACCUUCCUGUUCAUCACCGUUUAAACGCUGCAUUAAAAAAGUCUGUUUGCGGUAUUAGCAGAGCUACACACUGUUGACAAAGUCCUCUCCAAAGUCGAUCAUCUUUCUCAGUGUACUGAGGAUCAGCGUGUCAGUGUUGUCGUCCGUGUGGAUUUCUGAGUGGUAGUUCUUCACAGGAAAGCUGCAGUUCACUGGAAUACCCAGAGACUGGCUCACUUUCUCCAUCUAAAUGUGAACAGUUUAACAUUUGUUAACAAUUGUUUCUUAUAAGGGUAUAUAUUGCUUUUUUUAUUUAAACUGAUAAAAUCACUGGUAUAUACCUGUUCCUUUAAGGGUGAGCUCUUAUACACAUUUUUUAUGUCUUCUUUGACUUCUAGAAAGGCUUCAUCAAUUUUAGUUUGGAGAAGCAUUUGGGGAAUCCCUGAUACAUAAAAGCUCAGAGUAAAGAUGAUGUUUGUCAGGUUAUUUAAAUCAACUGAAAAAAAUGAGCCUUGCCCAAGUGAGAGGCUGCUUGUCUGACAUCCAUCAUUUUUUUCAUAUAUUUAUCACUCAGUGUUUUUGCUUGGCUCACAGAAAUCACAGAAACCAGAACAUGAACUUUGUCACUGAGACCAGGGUUUUCAUUGUAGUCGCGAUCUCUUUUGGAUAUUUAAGUCUCUGUGUUGAACUGGAAAAGAAUAAAAAAUGAAUUAAUUAUAAAUUGCACGUAGCUCUUUCUUAUUUUAAAAAGGGGUAUUGUUCUGCCUUAAACUUCAGUUAUUAUACCAGGUAGCUAUCCUUCACGUGUCCCUUCAUAACCUGUUUGAUGUCUUCCAAGACAACUCCUCUUUUUUGCCCUUAUCGACACCCAUGAUGUCAGUGAAGGCAAAAGGGUAAAAAGUCCCUGGUUCUGCUUUUGGGAUUUUGAAAGUUGUGUACUGUAAAAGAGAAAUGUUUAGCUGUUACGAUAAACAAGUCACCUCAUCAGAAGAGACCAUAAGGCAGUUAGUAUUGUGAUUCAAUAAAUUGAGGCUUAAAUACAGUGGCGGUCCUAGCCUGUUUGGCGCCCUGGGCGAACACGCCCUCUGCCCCCCCCCCCCCCACACACACACACACAC